rnacentral:rRNA from 1 species
GGCCGAAAGGCGUAGGUGAUGGACAACAGGUUGAUAUUCCUGUACUACCGAUAACCGUUUGAGAGAAGGGAUGACACAGUAGGAUAAACUAAGAACACUGUUGGUUAUGUGUGCCCAAGCAUUGAGGCAGGCAAAGUAGGCAAGUCCGCUUUGAUAAUGCUUGGUUGUGGUGGGGAGCGAAAUUUAGUAGCGAAGUAGCUGAUUUCACACUGUCCAGAAAAGUCACUAUCGAUGCUAAAGGUACCCGUACCGCCAACCGCCACAGGUGGGUCAGGAGAGUAUCCUAAGGCCA